rnacentral:rRNA from 1 species
CCUACGGGGGCUGCAGUGGGGAAUAUUGGACAAUGGGCGAAAGCCUGAUCCAGCCAUGCCGCGUGUGUGAAGAAGGCCUUCGGGUUGUAAAGCACUUUCAGUGGGGAAGAAAGCCUUGGGGCUAAUACCCUCGAGGAAGGACAUCACCCACAGAAGAAGCACCGGCUAACUCCGUGCCAGCAGCCGCGGUAAUACGGAGGGUGCGAGCGUUAAUCGGAAUUACUGGGCGUAAAGCGCGCGUAGGCGGUCUGAUAAGCCGGUUGUGAAAGCCCCGGGCUCAACCUGGGAACGGCAUCCGGAACUGGCAGGCUAGAGUGCAGGAGAGGAAGGUAGAAUUCCCGGUGUAGCGGUGAAAUGCGUAGAGAUCGGGAGGAAUACCAGUGGCGAAGGCGGCCUUCUGGACUGACACUGACGCUGAGGUGCGAAAGCGUGGGUAGCAAACAGGAUUAGAUACCCUAGUAGUC